CGUUGAUUACGUCCCUGCCCUUUGUACACACCGCCCGUCGCUACUACCGAUUGAAUGGCUCAGUGAGGCGUCCGGACUGGCCCAGAGAGGUGGGCAACUACCCAUCAGGGCCGGACAGCUCUCCAAGCUCGGUCAUUUAGAGGAAGUAAAAGUCGUAACAAGG
rnacentral:rRNA from 1 species